GUCGUCAUCUCUACGCGGCGGCGCAUACAGUUGCAGCGCCGCUAUCUCCUCCCCUAGUCUUCGGCGCCGGCGAUCCGAUGGGCACGAAGAGCUUUUUCGAGUCGACGCCGGAGAUGGAGAAGUUCCUCUGCGAGCGUCUCCUCGACCAGAGCCAGCCGAUCGCCGAGCGGUUCAGAGCACUCUUCUCCCUCCGCAAUCUCCGCGGCCCUGGCCCCCGAGACACUCUGAUUCAAGCCACCAGGGAUUCUUCAAAUUUGCUUGCACACGAGGCAGCAUUUGCACUA
rnacentral:misc_RNA from 1 species